rnacentral:tRNA from 1 species
GGUUGAUUAGUUAAAUGGUAUAACACGGAUCUUGUAAGUCUGAGUCAUUAGUUCGAUUCUAAUAUUGACCA